UACGUAGGGGGCUAGCGUUGUCCGGAUUCAUUGGGCGUAAAGGGUGCGUAGGUGGCGCUGUAAGUCGGGUGUGAAAUUUCGGAGCUUAACUCCGAAACUGCAUUCGAUACUGCGGUGCUUGAGGACUGGAGAGGAGACUGGAAUUCAUGGUGUAGCAGUGAAAUGCGUAGAGAUCAUGAGGAAGACCAGUGGCGAAGGCGGGUCUCUGGACAGUUCCUGACACUGAGACACGAAGGCCAGGGGAGCAAACGGG
rnacentral:rRNA from 1 species